UAACAAAACAAAUUCCAUUUAAGAGUUUCUGAACGGUUUGCAUUUGAGCAUUUAAGAAAGAUAAUUCAUUUGAGAAGUACUCAAACUUUCUGGUAAUCUCGACUGCGAUAGUACUCAACAAAUCGAAAAGAAAUGAGGUUGGAAAUCUUCAUCUGUUUCAUGGCGAUGGGUUUGAUCAUGGCGACAGCUGAUUCUGUGGAUCAUAAGUAACAGGUACUACCACCACCCUACCACUUCUACUUCACCUCGAGGACCGGAUGGAGGUUUGGUUGGAGGACCUCGGCAGAUUACACUGGACAUGCCUCCUUUGACGGGGAUGCCUCAUUUGACAGCCAUGCGUCCUCUGCACACCUUGCCCAGUGAGCUGCGUAUACCGUGGAGAGACCAGAGGCAGCGGUCGGUGGAGCCUAGUACUACCUCUGGGUCUGAGACUGUCGCGUCCAGUGCCGCUUCAAACAACAUUUAGGCUGGACUCUACCUUCGAAGAGCCCGUAUAUUGAAUCUUUAACCAAAUCAUUCCUAUGUGUGUUCAAGUUACGGUGACCUGCUUAAGAUUCUUUUUAUCUUCCCUGGGUGUUCAAGUUGUAUUACAGGUCUGCAGAGAGUUUUUUAUAUGGUAUGCCAAAAUUAUUUACUUAAAAUCUCUAAGAAUGUAGAAGAUGGGUAUAUGUUGGUCAAUGUUAUGAAGCAUAAUACUGGAAACUUUUAGCACAAAAUGUAAACCGACAAAGGCUUCAUUACGGGUGUUUAAAGUGUGCUAAAAAACAAUGUCUUAUGAAACAUAUCAAUCUCACCCAUUUCAGAAUUUAUUUUCCAAACUUACAUUUAAAAUAACAAUAUGUAUGCAAAGCGAAAAGUAAAAUGCAGAAGGUGAUAGAAACGGGCAAGAUCUAUUGCAGUUUGCAGAGACAAAAAGGAAUGGCUUCAUAUAGGCGAAA